rnacentral:rRNA from 1 species
CCUACGGGGCGCAGCAGUGAGGAAUAUUGGUCAAUGGGCUUACGCCUGAACCAGCCAAGUCGCGUGAGGGAAGACUGCCCUAUGGGUUGUAAACCUCUUUUGUCAGGGAGCAACGCCGGCUACGUGUAGCCGGACUGAGAGUACCUGAAGAAAAAGCAUCGGCUAACUCCGUGCCAGCAGCCGCGGUAAUACGGAGGAUGCGAGCGUUAUCCGGAUUUAUUGGGUUUAAAGGGUGCGUAGGCGGACUGGAAAGUCAGCGGUAAAAUCGAGAGGCUCAACCUCUUUCCGCCGUUGAAACUGUCGGU